AAAAUGCUACGCAAUCGCACUACGUAACUCCGCAGCAAUUACGCAAGUAGUUUCUUGCACUGAACAACAACGUCACCACCGAGGAAAAAUUAUGAUCAAAAGGCACUGCACAGUGUAACCCUGCUACAGUCUUUUGCACAGCACCAUACGGUAAAAAGUGACUCACUGCAACAAGCACCAGGCAGCAAAAAGCAUAGUUAUACCCACAUCCUGCUCACUCUGCCAUCAACUACCACAUCCCUGAAAGCUCCUUGAGAAUCCAGGCACAGUGUUCGUUUUCUCAAAAUUAAAGAUUUCUAGCACUACAACAAAGAAAUCCAUCAGUGGG
rnacentral:lncRNA from 1 species